UGUAUCUGAAAGGGCCAUUCCAGUGAAGACGAGUAGGGCGGGGCACGUGAAACCCUGUCUGAACAUGGGGGGACCAUCCUCCAAGGCUAAAUACUACUGACCGACCGAUAGUGAACCAGUACCGUGAGGGAAAGGCGAAAAGAACCCCGGAGAGGGGAGUGAAAUAGAACCUGAAACCGUGUGCGUACAAGCAGUAGGAGCUCCGCAAGGAGUGACUGCGUACCUUUUGUAUAAUGGGUCAGCGACUUACUGUUCGUGGCAAGCUUAACCGUAUAGGGGAGGCGAAGGGAAACCGAGUCUGAUAAGGGCGCAUAGUCGCGGGCAGUAGACCCGAAACCGGGUGAUCUAGUCAUGCCCAGGGUGAAGGUGCGGUAACACGCACUGGAGGCCCGAACCCACUCCCGUUGCAAAGGUAGGGGAUGAGGUGUGAUUAGGAGUGAAAAGCUAAUCGAACCCGGAGAUAGCUGGUUCUCCUCGAAAGCUAUUUAGGUAGCGCCUCAUAUGUAUCCUCUCGGGGGUAGAGCACUGUUAUGGCUAGGGGGUCAUCGCGACUUACCAAACCAUUGCAAACUCCGAAUACCGAGACGGACUGUAUGGGAGACACACGGCGGGUGCUAACGUCCGUCGUGAAAAGGGAAACAACCCAGACCCACAGCUAAGGUCCCAAAUUCACUGCUAAGUGGAAAACCAUGUGGAAAGGCACAGACAGCCAGGAGGUUGGCUUAGAAGCAGCCACCCUUUAAAGAAAGCGUAAUAGCUCACUGGUCGAGUCGGUCUGCGGGGAAGAUUUAACGGGGCUAAGCAGUGAACCGAAGCUUGGGGUGCAUAACUUUGUUAUGCGCGGUAGAGGAGCGUUCCGUAAGCCGUUGAAGGUGGAUUGAGAAGUCUGCUGGAGGUAUCGGAAGUGCGAAUGCUGACAUGAGUAACGAUAAUGCGGGUGAAAAACCCGCACGCCGAAAGCCCAAGGUUUCCUUGCGCAACGUUAAUCGGCGCAGGGUGAGUCGGCCCCUAAGGCGAGGACGAAAGUCGUAGUCGAUGGGAAGCAGGUUAAUAUUCCUGCACCUCGCGUAAGUGCGAUGGAGGGACGGAGAAGGUUAGGUGUACCAGGCGUUGGUUGUCCUGGGGAAAGGCGGUAGGUUUGGAUCUUUGGCAAAUCCGGGAUCCUUUAAGACCGAGCACCGAGACGAGCCUUUAUGGCGAAGUCACUGAUACCACGCUUCCAGGAAAAGCUCCUAAGCUUCAGCUUACGCAGACCGUACCGUAAACCGACACAGGUGGGUAGGAUGAGAAUUCUCAGGCGCUUGAGAGAACUCGGGUGAAGGAACUAGGCAACAUGGCACCGUAACUUCGGGAGAAGGUGCACCCUUUUUGGUGGCUCGUGCGAGCUAUAGCUGAAGAGGGUCGCAGUAACCAGGCCGCUGCGACUGUUUAUCAAAAACACAGCACUCUGCAAACACGAAAGUGGACGUAUAGGGUGUGACGCCUGCCCGGUGCUGGAAGGUUAAUUGAUGGGGUCAGCCGCAAGGCGAAGCUCUUGAUCGAAGCCCCAGUAAACGGCGGCCGUAACUAUAACGGUCCUAAGGUAGCGAAAUUCCUUGUCGGGUAAGUUCCGACCUGCACGAAUGGCGUAACGACAGCGGCGCUGUCUCCACCCGAGACUCAGUGAAAUUGAAAUCGCUGUGAAGAUGCAGCGUUCCCGUGGCAAGACGGAAAGACCCCGUGAACCUUUACUAUAGCUUUACACUGAACGUUGAGUUCGUCUGUGUAGGAUAGGUGGGAGGCUAUGAAACUGUGGCGCUAGCUGCAGCGGAGCCAUCCUUGAAAUACCACCCUGUCGUGCUUGACGUUCUAACCUGGGCCCAUUAUCUGGGUCGGGGACCGUGUAUGGUGGGUAGUUUGACUGGGGCGGUCUCCUCCUAAAGAGUAACGGAGGAGCUCGAAGGUACGCUCAGCGCGGUCGGACAUCGCGCACUGUGUGCAAAGGCAUAAGCGUGCUUGACUGCAAGAUCGACGGAUCAAGCAGGUAGGAAACUAGGACUUAGUGAUCCGGUGGUUCUGUAUGGAAGGGCCAUCGCUCAACGGAUAAAAGGUACUCCGGGGAUAACAGGCUGAUACCGCCCAAGAGUUCAUAUCGACGGCGGUGUUUGGCACCUCGAUGUCGGCUCAUCACAUCCUGGGGCUGUAGUCGGUCCCAAGGGUAUGGCUGUUCGCCAUUUAAAGUGGUACGCGAGCUGGGUUCAGAACGUCGUGAGACAGUUCGGUCCCUAUCUGCCAUGGGCGUUGGAGAUUUGAGAGGGGCUGCUCCUAGUACGAGAGGACCGGAGUGGACGAACCUCUGGUGUUCCGGUUGUCACGCCAGUGGCAUUGCCGGGUAGCUAUGUUCGGAAGCGAUAACCGCUGAAAGCAUCUAAGCGGGAAGCGCGCCUCAAGAUGAGAUCUCCCGGGGCACAAGCCCCCUGAAGGAACCAUGUAGACUACGUGGUUGAUAGGUCAGGUGUGUAAGUACAGCAAUGUAUUGAGCUAACUGAUACUAAUGAUCCGUGCGGCUUGACCAU
rnacentral:rRNA from 1 species